rnacentral:sRNA from 1 species
GGCAAAAAUCUUUAAGACUCUUAGAAAAAAAUAAAAUAGUAAUGUGUCAUAUAAAGUAAUCCUGAACUGAUGCAGUCAGAGUGUGUGUUUAACUCACAAAUGCAUGCAGAGCCUAAUAAUCACAAUUUCUCUCAUCCAGUGGGUGUUCUCAUCAUAUUGGAGAACCGUACUCAUCCUCCAUUUCUCCAUGCAUUUGUAAUAGAAAGGCCUCAGAAGUAGCACUGAACCUUCAUUUUACUAGCAUUUUUAUAUACGUUUAUUUUUAAACAGUUUAGUUAAAAAUUUACAUACUGUGGAAUUCACCCAUUUUUAAUUUGUAAUUCAGUAAUUUUUAGUAAAUGUACAGUCUAGUUUUGGAAAUUUUUCAUCACCCCAAAAGUCCCAGCUCCAGGCAGCCACUAAUCUUUCUGUCUCUAGAUUUUCCCUUUCUGGGCAUUUCAUAUAAAUGGAAUCAUACGAUAUGUGGCCUUUUGCCUCUGGCUUCUUUCAUUCAACAUACAUGUUUUUGAGGUUCAUUCAUGUAGUGUGUAUCAGCAAUCUUUUCCUUUUUAUUUCUGAAUUGUAUUCCACUGUUUGUAAAUGCAUUUUGCCUACCCAUUUACCUGUUGAUGGACAUUUGGGUUGUUUCCACUUUGUGGCUGUUAUGAAUUAUGCUGCUUCAUUUAUUUAGAUCUUUCAUUUUAUCAGCAGUGUUUUAUUGUGCAAGUCUUAUAUUUAUUUUGUUAAAUCUCUUAAGUAUUUUAUUUUUGUCACUGUGAAUAUAAUUGUUAAUUUCAUUUUCAUGUUUACUAUGUACUCAGAUUGUUGUAUACAGAAUUUCUGUAACCUUACUGACCUCAUUUAUUAAUUCUAGUAGUUAUUUUGUGGAUUCCAUAGGAGUUUUUACAUACAGGAUCAUAUUGUCUUCAAAGACAGUUUUUACCUUUUUCUUUCUGAUGUGAAUGCCUUUUAUUUUCUUUUUCUUGCCUAAUUGCUCUGGCUAGAUUCUCCAGUUCAAUGAGAUGGAGAAGUGUAGAGAACAGACAUCCUUAUCAUCUUCCUGAUCUUAGGGAGAGAGUAUCCAGUCUUUCACCAGUGAAAUGAGAAUAACAUUAAUUGUAGGUUUUUGUGGAUGUCUCUGAUCAGUUUAAAUAUGUUUACUUUUAUUCCUAAUCAGGAAUGAAUGUAGAAUUGUAUCAGAUGCUUUUUCUGCAUCUAAUGAGAUGAUCGUGUUGGUUUUGUCCUUUAUUACUGUGGUAUGUUACUACAAUUGACAGAUGUUAAACCAACUUUGCAUUCCUGGAUAAUUUGGUUUACUCAUAUUUUUAUUGAUUUUUACACCUAUAAUCAUAAGGGAUAUUGGUCAAUAAUUGUCUUCUGAUUUCCCUGGCUGACUUUGAUAGCGUGGCAAUUCUGGCCUCAUUGGAAAGGACAACAACUAUAAAAGACAGGAGGGAGGGAAUCGUUUGCCACAGCUUCAGUUGGUAGUGAACAGUCCCACUCUCCCCAUUCACUUCUCAGUAUUGCCAUGUGGUGUGUCAGUAGAAAGAUUACCUUAUUCUUAAUACCUUGACAAAAGAGCAGUAGAAUGGAGUCUAGACGGAUUUUCUACCACAAACCAUUCGAAUGUAAAAAGUAUGAGUGAUGAGCUUCUAUUAUCUGGCAAAUAUCCAUGUAUAAAAGACCAUCUCCUAUUAAAUGCUAAUUUAGUUUAUCUACAAGUCUGUAAUAUUUUAGAGUUGCUGGAAUCCAGUAAAAUUUCCUUAUACAGAUUUGGAAGGCAGCCUAGGUGUGCAGAAUACUAAAUUAUCUAGUUUACCUUUCCUUCCCUUUCUCUCUCAGCAUUUUUCUAUGUUGUAAUCAUUUUCUUUCCAUUUUAUUGACAGAGGAGGAAGGAAGAGACUUGAGCUGUUGUGUAGCUUCUCUUGUUCAAAUGAUGCUGGAUCCCUAUUUUAGGACAAUUAUUGGAUUUCAGAGUCUGAUACAGAAGGAGUGGGUCAUGGCAGGAUAUCAAUUUCUAGACAGAUGCAACCAUCUAAAGAGAUCAGAGAAAGAGUCUCCUUUAUUUUUGCUAUUCUUGGAUGCCACCUGGCAGCUGUUAGAACAAUAUCCUGCAGCUUUCGAGUUCUCCGAAACCUACCUGGCAGUGUUGUAUGACAGCACCCGGAUUUCACUGUUUGGCACCUUCCUGUUCAACUCCCCUCACCAGCGAGUGAAGCAAAGCACGGAAUUUGCUAUAAGCAAAAAUAUCCAAUUGGGUGAUGAGAAGGGCUUAAAAUUCCCCUCUGUUUGGGACUGGUCUCUCCAGUUUACAGCAAAGGAUCGCACCCUUUUCCAUAACCCCUUCUACAUUGGAAAGAGCACACCUUGUAUACAGAAUGGCUCCGUGAAGUCUUUUAAACGGACAAAGAAAAGCUACAGCUCCACACUAAGAGGAAUGCCGUCUGCCUUAAAGAAUGGAAUCAUCAGUGACCAAGAAUUACUUCCAAGGAGAAAUUCAUUGAUAUUAAAACCAAAGCCAGAUCCACCUCAGCCAACCGACAGCCAGAACAGUGAUACGGAGCAAUAUUUUAGAGAAUGGUUUUCCAAACCCGUCAACCUGCACGGUGUUAUUCUGCCACGUGUCUCUGGAACACACAUAAAACUGUGGAAACUGUGCUACUUCCGCUGGGUUCCUGAGGCCCAGAUCAGCCUGGGUGGCUCCAUCACGGCCUUUCACAAGCUCUCCCUCCUGGCUGAUGAAGUCGAUGUGCUGAGCAGGAUGCUGCGGCAACAGCGCAGUGGCCCCCUGGAGGCCUGCUAUGGGGAGCUGGGCCAGAGCAGGAUGUACUUCAACGCCAGCGGCCCUCACGACACUGACACCUCGGGGACACCGGAGUUUCUCUCCUCCUCAUUUCCAUUUUCUCCUGUAGGGAAUCUAUGCAGACGAAGCAUUUUAGGAACACCAUUAAGCAAAUUUUUAAGUGGGGCCAAAAUAUGGUUGUCUACUGAGACAUUAGCAAAUGAAGACUAAAAUAGGGUGUUUUCUGAACAUUUUGAGGGAAGCUAGCAACUUUUUUCCUCUGAAUUAAAAUUGCUAACCUAGGCGUUUGAAGCUCUAAUAACUUUAUAUGUAAGAAUAAUAGUUGGAAUUUGCACUAAUAUUUAAAAACAUGUUGAAUCAUGGUUCUUUCACACUUAUUUUAAGAGAGAUGUAAAUUUUGUUCCUGUCCUCUUUCUGUCAUUACAGGUCUGGCUUUUGUAACUGUGAUCAAACUGUUCGUGUUCUGUCUGCUACAUUUCUGUCUCCAUCCAUUUUUCCUGCCACCUCCUGAAGGCUAUCUGAUAGUCACAUUAGCAACCCCAGGCAGCAGACAACAGGAAAGUUAGGAAAUUUGUGUUUCGUGUCAUUUUUAGGAACAUCUGAUAAAACCUCCAGCAGGUUUUAGGAAGUAUUCAUGUAUUUUUCUGGUUACUUUCUGUCAUCUCUAAUUGAACUCACCUGAUGAAGGUUCAGUGUUCUGUGGCCAGAAUUUAUUAUUUUAGAUCACCUUCUUUGCGACCUUAGAUCACUGUGUUUUGAAAUCAUGAGUUUGCUUUUAACUUCAUAGGGCUAACUUUAAAAUGAUAUGCACUGUUAAUUUUAAAGCAUUUGCUGCAGAUAAACUUAGAAGUGCCUUUGACUUUAAGAUACAAAUAUUACAGAAGAAAAUAUAAUUUCACUUUUUAAAAUUGGGGUGUGAAAAUCCCAUUGCAUAUUUGAAAUAGGCUUUUCAUACUAAGCUUCAUAGCCAGGAGUCCCCAAAGUCUUGUUCCUCUGAAAGCCACUGGGGUGUGGCCUGUGAGGUGCUGAUUCCUCAGAGGUGCAUGCUGUAGACAGGAGAGUGCCAUCUAUGCCAAAACCCGCCCUCAAAAACAAGGCUUGCUGGGAGGCGUGCUGGGCUUGGCCAUCAGUAUUUCCAGUGUGGUAAACUAUUGCUGGCACUUCCCCCUGGAAAUAACUAAUGAGGUCACGAGUUGGGCACCUGCACAGAUGUCCUCCUUCUCUCAUAGUUCCUAAUGCUUAGGAAUAGAGGAGAAAUAAAAAAUGGAUUCUCUCAAAACACUGCCAUUUGAAUAGCGAGAGAAGUGCUCCCCCAACCCCCAACUUUGGAUGGCAAAGUUGAGGAGAAUGAGCAGACACAGUUGUUUGCUUGAUCUGAAUCUCUCUUAAAGUAUUUCCAAACUGUGUGACAAGAGCCUACCUACCACUGUAGAGGUCAAAGCUGAAGCUUCUUACAGCAGUGAAACGGGGCACUGCCUACCCCACACGCCUCAUUCCCCGCUUAAAACAUGGAUACUUUCAAAUUUGACUGUUUCUUAAACUGCCACCCUAAGAUAUGGAAAAUUUUUAAAGUGUCUAGUUAGCUUAUUUCCUUUUCUAAAACAAGUGUUUUCAAGAUAACUAUUUUACCUUUAUAUGUACUGAAUAGCUGUUUCUAUUUGAAUUAUUUGCCUUUUAAGAUUUGAUAAUGUCUCUGGGUAUAACAGGACAGGAGUUCUUAAAAAAUAUCUUAAGAAAUUCACUUUAUGGGUAAACCCAAGGUUUUUGCCAACUUGUUGCCUAGAAAAUAAGGGCUAGUUUCAGUUUAUACAAAUAGAAUUAUUAAACAUUUUACAGUCCUUGAUUAGAAACCAGACCCAAUCUCUUCAUAACACCACAGCGUAUCCUACUAUUGACAGUGUAAUCACAAUUCUCCCUUUUUCAUUUAGCUGCUUUUUUAUUAUUACUAAAUGUUUUGGAUUGAGCAUUUUUCCCUCUGUAAUUUUCUUCCCUCACGUUUAUUUUAUUUUAACUCUUGUAGUAUUUUAUUGUUGUUAAUUUACAAGUUUAAAAAUAUUAGGUACUAUUAAUAAUGGUUAAAAAUAGAAAAAUGCAUAUUUUUGUAUGAUAAUCAAAUGUAAAAUAGUUUUAUUUUUGCUGGA